GUGAAUCAUCAAAUCUUUGAACGCAAAUUGCGCCUCUUUCGGAAGGAAUGUCUGUUUGAGGGCACCAUUUAACAAAUAAUGUGCAGCGUGUUUGGUUUCACACGUUGAUGAGCUUUCAAAGAAUUUUAAAUUUUUGGUGGCACAUAAUGAACAACGUGAAAGAUUUUUUCAGUUCGAGUGUUGUAAAAUCUUAGCUUGGGUUGUGUAAAAACAUAAUCGUGCAAUGGGUGGGGCA
rnacentral:misc_RNA from 1 species